rnacentral:rRNA from 1 species
CCCUUAGAUGUUCUGGGCCGCACGCGCGCUACACUGAUGCAUUCAACGAGUUUUGUUUGUUCCUUGGCCGAGGGGCCUGGGCAAUCUUUUGAACUUGCAUCGUGAUAGGGAUAGAUUAUUGCAAUUAUUAAUCUUGAACGAGGAAUUCCUAGUAAACGCAGAUCAUCAAUCUGCAUUGAUUACGUCCCUGCCCUUUGUACACACCGCCCGUCGCACCUACCGAUUGAAUGGUCCGGUGAAGCCUCGGGAUUGUGGUUGGUUUCCUUUAUUGGAGAUUGAUUGCGAGAACUUGUCUAAACCUUAUCAUUUAGAGGAAGGUGAAGUCGUAACA